GGGGGUGAACGGUCUCGACUUCGGACGUCGAGAUAGGUGAAGCGAGCCGAGGAAGACGACGAUGAUCUCGUAAACCAAUAAUGUCGUAACCAAUUAAGCGCCGAUUCUAAUCAGCGCGACUUCGCUCUUGCUGCCUAAGCGGUAGAGCGAGUCUGUCAGACCGGGAGGCCUCCGGCCCGGACCCUGGCAUCGACUAGGAGGAUCACCAACCGACCCGGUCGCGGGGUCGCGCGGGACAUUUCACAGCGACUGGGCCCGUCACCGCAUCUUGUGCACACGAAUGCGGGGGCCGAGUAGAGGCAUAGUGCACUGCGCUCGGAGAAGCCCUAUCAAACCGCCGAAGGACCCGGGUUCGAUUCCCGGCACCUCCACGA
rnacentral:tmRNA from 1 species